UGUUUGUUGGGAUAGGCUUGUCUCAAAAUGGAAGAUUUACCACAUAACAAAAUAAUACAUUAGCAACUGUCCACUAUCCAAGUGCAAUGGUCCAAGCUGUAUUGCCAUCCUGGGAAGAAAAAAAGUUGCGAACAUCGUGGGAAAAAACGGCACUGGCGCACAUAAUGGAUGGCAACAUGGGUGCAUUUAUAGUCCAUCAUGACAUAAAAAAUCCUCUGCAUGCAACCACGAGGAGAUGGGGAAUUUACUAAGGAGUUUUGUCUAUAUAUUAUAUAAAACCUACUGUUGGGUAAGUACAUUUUGUAUUAUUUGAUUAACGUGGUUAAGUUUUACUUGUUUGACACAAAUGAACCAAAAUAAACAUUGCCAGAAUUGUCCACACUGAGUAUGGCUAAAAUUAGCUAAUAGGCUAAAAGGUACUUUGAACUUACACAUGUUAUACCAUAGUAUAAAGUAUAUUUAAUGAUAGAGUCAAAGUUAUUACUUUAGCUUAUAUAUGUAGCCUUUGAGAAUUUCUUUCAGAAAUUAAAACAUCUGAAAGAGAAAAGUUAUUUGGCAUGAUGGAAUGAUUUGAUUGCCUACACAUUGCACAUGUAAAAUGUUAAAUACUGUUCUGUAUUAAAAGCUCAGCAUAAGUGUUUGAUUAACUUCCUUUGCUUUUGUUUUGUACAAAGGAAGAGCAGAACCUAAUCCAAAUAAAAAUAAACAAGCUGUUAAAAGCCAGUUGAAGGUGGUCAACACAAACCAAAUGAAGAUGUUGCACAUUCCACAAACAAUAAAAAAAGAAGAUCAAGUUUUGUGUCCAACACACUUGGAUGAGACGUGCCCGACCCCUGACUUUGUCUACCCUACAUUAAGUUGUGAUGGCACACUUCAUGACAGUAAACAUCGGUAUCAAGAUGAUGUGAUUGAUCUAUACCCUAGAAUAAGCUGUGACACUAUGAGACGGUGACAUAAUGAACAGCCAUCUUCCAGACAACCGAAACAGUAUUGUCUACAAUACCAAAUUCUGGAUUGACGCCCCAGUACCAGAAGGCACUCCAAUCCCAGAGAGCAUCCCAUUGUGAGGUAACACAACGAAAAAAUAACAGGAUGGAGACUACCUGAUUCUUCACCUAUGGCCUUAGCUUCAAAUGCAAGAAGUCCAGCAACUUUCUGAGCUGGUGGAUAUUCUAUCAGAGACUGCAUGAACAACGUUAUGAACAGAAUGAUGUCUAAUUGUCUUAUGGCAAAGUUCAAUAUGAGGGGUGGUGGACAUCUGGAAAAUAAGUCUUUUAAAGGCACACCUUUGUAUUAUGUUAUUCAAGAUGCUGUGAGGAGGUGGAGCCCAAAAGCCACGGACUCGGAAAUCAAUGCAGCUAUGGCAGACCACCUCAAGCACGCUCCAGGAAGAGAGCUAGGGGUUGUGAAUACAAAAAAUAAGCCAAACAGAUGUAAUGUGUUAGAGAGAUUUCACACAAAAAUGAAAAUUGUUAUAAUUUUCUUACCCACGUGUUUCAAACCUGUAUACAUUUCUAUUUUUUGCUGAACACAAAGAUUGAAUAAUGUU